CUCACCCAUAACCACAUCCCUCCUCACCUAGAGCGGCUACUCAGAAACCCCGGCCAUGAGAGACCCUGGGAAAAACUGCCGCCUUCAACAGCAAGGGAAACACACGCUGUUGUCCUUCUUUCUUAACGAAACCAAGCUCACUAGACACACGAGAACAAGGAAGAUGAACCAAGAAAGUCAAACUGCUUUGGAGGCCACGGAGGCAAAAAGGACUUUGCAGAUGUGAUUAAAUUGAGGAUCUGAAGAUGCGGAGGGGAGCCUAGUCAUCCUGGUGCCCGACGUGAUCACAAGUGUCCUUAUAAGAGAGAGACAGAAGGGGAGUUGUGACAAUGGAAGCAGAGGUCGGAGUGAUGUGGGGCCAUGAGCCAAGGACUGCAGCAGCCUCGAGAACCUGGAAAAAAGAGUCAGAAUUCACAGAAACACUGAGAGUCGGGUUGGCUCCUGCCCCUUCUGGGUAGCUGAGAUCUGGAUCAAUCUAUUCCUGUGAGCCAACAAGAAGGAAAGGCUCUCUAGUGAGACAGAUGCCGAAGCUGGAAGCAGAGACAGAUCUUAGAUUCCCACGCCACAGCUGGAAAAAGAGGGACAGUGAACAAUUCCCAGAGACGCUUGAGGAAUUUUGUACACGUUCUAUGGUGGAACAGCUCUUAAAAG
rnacentral:lncRNA from 1 species